CAAGGAAUUUCGUCAAUGGGGGAGCCCUGAACGAGCAACGCCGCGUGGGCGAAGAAGUCCCUCGGGAUGUAAAGCCCUUUUCCCUGUGAAGAAAGAAAGACGGUAACAGGGGAAUAAGCAUCGGCUAACUACGUGCCAGCAGCCGCGGUAAUACGUAGGGUGCGAGCGUUGUCCGGAAUCAUUGGGCGUAAAGGGCGCGUAGGUGGCCCGGUCAGUCUUUGGUGAAAGCGCGGGGCUCAACCCUGCGUCGGCCAGGGAUACUGCCGCGGCUGGAGCACUGUAGAGGCAGGCGGAAUUCCGGGUGUAGCGGUGGAAUGCGUAGAGAUCCGGAAGAACACCGGUGGCGAAGGCGGCCUGCUGGGCAGUUGCUGACACUGAGGCGCGACAGCGUGGGGAGCAAACAGGAUUAGAUACC
rnacentral:rRNA from 1 species